GACGAACGCUGGCGGCGUGCUUAACACAUGCAAGUCGAGCGGUAAGGCCCCUUCGGGGGUACACGAGCGGCGAACGGGUGAGUAACACGUGAGCAACCUACCCUCAACUUUGGGAUAAGC
rnacentral:rRNA from 1 species